AGCUCCAACAGCGUGUGUUAAAGUUGUUGCAGUUAAAAAGCUCGCAGUUGGAUUUGUGGCUGUCUCUAGCUGCCUGUCACUUAGUGUUAGUGCUAGCUGGAGUCGCCAUCCUUGGGUGGAGCCUGUGUGGCAUUAGGUUGUCGUGCAGGGGAUGCCCAUCGUUUGCUGUGAGAAAAUUAGAGUGUUCAAAGCAGGCUUAUGCCGUUGAACAUGUUAGCAUGGAACAACAAGAUAGGACCUCGGUGCUGUUUUGUUGGUUUGCGCACCGAGGCAAUGAUUAACAGGGACAGUUGGGGGUGUUCGCAUUCCAUUGUCAGAGGUGAAAUUCUUGGAUUUCUGGAAGACGAACCACUGCGAAAGCAUUUGCCAAGGAUGUUUUCAUUAAUCAAGAACGAAAGUA
rnacentral:rRNA from 1 species